GCCACUUGUGAUAUAUGCCAGUAAUGUCUCUCUUUUUCCAUUCCUUCAAGUCGAACAUAUUCAUCCCAUAAGCCCACCCACAUGCAUUGGGAUCAAAUUUUCUUGCAAUAUGAGGAUUGGAGAAGUUAAGAUAUUUGUCAAAACGGUGAAAGCUCUCACCACAGGUUUCAACUGCACCAUUAACUUUGCCAUGAAGAUCCACAGCCCAUAAU
rnacentral:misc_RNA from 1 species